rnacentral:rRNA from 1 species
UACGUAGGCAGCAAGCGUUGUUCGGAAUUACUGGGCGUAAAGAGUGUGUAGGUGGUGUCGUAAGUUUGGUGUGAAAUCUCCCGGCUUAACUGGGAGGGUGCGCCGAAGACUGCGAUGCUGGAGUAUGGGAGAGGAAAGCGGAAUUCCUGGUGUAGCGGUGAAAUGCGUAGAUAUCAGGAGGAACACCGGUGGUGUAGACGGCUUUCUGGACCGUAACUGACGCUGAGACACGAAAGCGUGGGGAGCAAACAGG